rnacentral:rRNA from 1 species
AGAGUUUGAUCCUGGCUCAGGAUGAACGCUAGCGGCAGGCCUAACACAUGCAAGUCGAGGGGUAGCAGGAUUAAGCUUGCUUAAUUGCUGACGACCGGCGCACGGGUGCGUAACGCGUAUGCAACCUACCUUAUACUGGGGUAUAGCCCGGAGAAAUUCGGAUUAAUCCCCCAUAGUACUAUUUAACCGCAUGGUUGAAUAGUUAAAGCAUUGCGGUAUAAGAUGGGCAUGCGUCCUAUUAGCUAGAUGGUGAGGUAACGGCUCACCAUGGCUACGAUAGAUAGGGGGCCUGAGAGGGUGGUCCCCCACACUGGUACUGAGACACGGACCAGACUCCUACGGGAGGCAGCAGUGAGGAAUAUUGGUCAAUGGGCGCAAGCCUGAACCAGCCAUGCCGCGUGCAGGAAGAAUGCCCUAUGGGUUGUAAACUGCUUUUAUUUGGGAAUAAACCUCUUUACGUGUAGAGAGCUGAAGGUACCAAAUGAAUAAGCACCGGCUAACUCCGUGCCAGCAGUCGCGGUAAUACGGAGGGUGCAAGCGUUAUCCGGAAUCAUUGGGUUUAAAGGGUCCGCAGGCGGAUUUAUAAGUCAGUGGUGAAAUCCUAUCG